rnacentral:rRNA from 1 species
GAUGGCGUGCCUUUUGUAGAAUGAACCGGCGAGUUACGAUUUGAUGCAAGGUUAAGCAGUAAAUGUGGAGCCGUAGCGAAAGCGAGUCUGAAUAGGGCGUUUAGUAUUUGGUCGUAGACCCGAAACCAGGUGAUCUACCCUUGGUCAGGUUGAAGUUCAGGUAACACUGAAUGGAGGACCGAACCGACUUACGUUGAAAAGUGAGCGGAUGAACUGAGGGUAGCGGAGAAAUUCCAAUCGAACCUGGAGAUAGCUGGUUCUCUCCGAAAUAGCUUUAGGGCUAGCCUCAAGUGAUGAUUAUUGGAGGUAGAGCACUGUUUGGACGAGGGGCCCCUCUCGGGUUACCGAAUUCAGACAAACUCCGAAUGCCAAUUAAUUUAACUUGGGAGUCAGAACAUGGGUGAUAAGGUCCGUGUUCGAAAGGGAAACAGCCCAGACCACCAGCUAAGGUCCCAAAAUAUAUGUUAAGUGGAAAAGGAUGUGGCGUUGCCCAGACAACUAGGAUGUUGGCUUAGAAGCAGCCAUCAUUUAAAGAGUGCGUAAUAGCUCACUAGUCGAGUGACACUGCGCCGAAAAUGUACCGGGGCUAAACAUAUUACCGAAGCUGUGGAUUGUCCUUUGGACAAUGGUAGGAGAGCGUUCUAAGGGCGUUGAAGCAUGAUCGUAAGGACAUGUGGAGCGCUUAGAAGUGAGAAUGCCGGUGUGAGUAGCGAAAGACGGGUGAGAAUCCCGUCCACCGAUUGACUAAGGUUUCCAGAGGAAGGCUCGUCCGCUCUGGGUUAGUCGGGUCCUAAGCUGAGGCCGACAGGCGUAGGCGAUGGAUAACAGGUUGAUAUUCCUGUACCACCUAUAAUCGUUUUAAUCGAUGGGGGGACGCAGUAGGAUAGGCGAAGCGUGCGAUUGGAUUGCACGUCUAAGCAGUAAGGCUGAGUAUUAGGCAAAUCCGGUACUCGUUAAGGCUGA